GUUUCCAUAGUGUAGGGAAAUAACACGUGCGCCUCACGUGGGCAAUGGCCCUGAUUCGAUCCCGGGCAGAAACA